rnacentral:sRNA from 1 species
AAAUGAGGUUUAAAAUGUUUAAAGUCGUUUUUAAAGGAUAGGCAGUGUUCGAUAAGUAUUUACAAGGGAUUUUAAAAGUUUUUUAAAAGUGAUUUACAUAA